rnacentral:lncRNA from 1 species
GGCGGGGUGCUCAGGGAGGCAGCACUGCGCAAGCGCAAUAGAGGGGGCUGCGUCGACACCCACUUAACUUCGGAGUUAGUGGGACACCUUUCUUUUUGCUUAGUACGCUUUUCUGCUAUUCCUGCCGCAUAACUCUCUCUUCCCCAGGCUUUUCCCAUCUCCAUCCUAUUCUCUCGCAGGUGCUGGGGGAAAAGAUUACUUCCCAGAUGCAGUAUUUACAUCUCCUCCGCCCUACUCUUCCAACCCUGCCUGAAAUAAGUGUGGUUCUCCUGUCUGUCAGACUAUGAAGAGUUCUCAAAUAUGUCUUUCCCAGCGAGGGAGAGGAGAGUGAGUAUCCAGGAACUUUAAUGCGAUAGGACAUCAAUAUGAGUGUUUAUAGGGAAAGCCAGUGAUCCUAUUGUUAGACGCGAAAUCAAGACAUAUGAUCUGAUUUUUUGUUUUACUUUUUGUUUUUGAGGUAUAACAUUCAGUAAAGCGCACAA